rnacentral:rRNA from 1 species
ACUCAAAUGAAUUGACGGGGGCCCGCACAAGCGGUGGAGCAUGUGGUUUAAUUCGACGCAACGCGAAGAACCUUACCUGGGCUCGAAAUGCUGCUGACCAGCUUACGAAAGUAGGCCUUCCCGCAAGGGACAGUAGUAUAGGUGCUGCAUGGCUGUCGUCAGCUCGUGUCGUGAGAUGUUGGGUUAAGUCCCGCAACGAGCGCAACCCUUGUCCUGUGUUGCCAUCAUUAAGUUGGGAACUCGCAGGAGACCGCCAGGGAUAACCUGGAGGAAGGUGGGGAUGACGUCAAGUCCUCAUGGCCUUUAUGUCCAGGGCUACACACGUGCUACAAUGGACGGUACAAAGCGCUGCCAACCCGCGAGGGGGAGCCAAUCGCAAAAAACCGUUCUCAGUUCGGAUUGCAGGCUGCAACUCGCCUGCAUGAAGCUGGAAUCGCUAGUAAUGGCAGAUCAGAACGCUGCCGUGAAUACGUUCCCGGGCCUUGUACACACCGCCCGU